UCCGUGCACGUGGCAGAAGCCCUUGUUGGUUUAGCUGCAGUUGCUGUAGGAAAAUUUGUAGUUUGGCCCCCACUGCAGUAUGUCCUACGGGAAAAAUUUGAUUGGCCAAAGCCAAAGAGGUCCAAGAAACCGCAGAAUGAUGUUGAGAUGGGGAAUGCUUCUGACGAAGCUGGUGGACAAAAGAGAGCCAGGUGCUGGUGUGAACACGAGGAUUUUUGUUCAAAAAUCCAACCGCAAGAAGAGCUUUCAGGAGGCAAGCAGGUGUAUCUGACUGUGAAAGAAAAGGUGGUUCUAUCUCAAUUGGCCAAGAAAAUUGAAGAAGAGGAAGAUCUGCCGGGAACCAGUUCCCAAUGAUGGGGCCAUUCCACGACUGAGAUGGAAGAUAAGGAAUGUUCAAACAUUACAUUUGUAUUUUCAAGAAGUUAGCUGCAAUCGAGGUUCCUUAUCAA